GUGCACAGUAGUGAUCUGAGCCGGUGAGUGGACUUCCUGGAGAGCGCAGGGAUGGCCGCCUCUGAGGGAUACGAACAGUGUUCUGUGGGGUUCCUGUGGCUGCUGUAACAAAGACCACAUGUGUUGGAGCACCUUCCACUCCUUCCCGCUGCUGUCACGCUCACCACCCUGAUUCCCGUUCCUCCGCCUCACUCUUGUAAGGAUGCUUGUGAAGAUAUCGGCCCAUCAGGAUCACACAGGAUCAGCGCUCCCUCUCAGGGCCCUUCCCUGAAUCACAUCUGCACAGCCCCUAUGGCCAGGCCAGCUUGGAGAUUCACAGGCUCUGGAGACUGAAGGGUAAAUGUCUUUGGGAAGCCACGAGCACCUUCAGCAUCUGCUCCAGACAGUGUAAGCCCAGAGCCUUGAGGAACUCAAGCCACCCGAGAUGCGUGUUAAGUGCAGGGCCAUUUGCUCCCCGCGCCUCCCCUCCUCUCUGAAGACAUCACCGCGGAGUGUCCUCGUCCUCGGCAGACUGUGCAGGUGCUCUGUGGUACUUUUCUCUCUGGCCUGUUUUCUACUUGGUGAUUGCAAAUUCAUCUGUGGGAAUCCUGGGCUGAAGCGUCCUGGCCACGGCGGAGAGGUGAGAAGGAGGUGUCCGGGGAGCACAGUCUCGCAUCUGGAUCGCUGAGUGCAGCAGAUGGCCCAGCUGACUCCGCCACAUCGCAUAAGUUUACGGCGGCGUUGCCAGGUUCUCCUCCCCACUGCGUUUAUAGGGAUGUCUUCAGGAUUUCCCUUUUGAUAUAUGAGAGAGGCUUGUCGGCUGGGGCCCCCUCCAUCAAAGGGUAAUCUUCGAGUAAAUCACCGUGAACCAGCAGCCAAGUGUUUGCAUGGCCCACGCUCUGUCCGCUCUCUGGGAUAAAUCUUCCGGGUAACACACUUACCGUGUGACCCUGGGGACCAAGCAGCAUGAAAAGGUCAAGUACAAGGGGCAACGGAGAACUUGUCCUUUGCUCCCGUCUGGACUGAGGGCAGAGCAGGAGGGUGAGCUGCUCUCCUCGGGCUGCUGUAUCGAGGUGUAACAGCAGGGGACAUAACACACCCGGCAUCUCACUUUGCCCCACUGCAGAGAUCAGGCGUCCAAGAUCAAGGUGUCCACAGAGCAGUGACCUCGCCACGGCUCUAGCGAAGACUCCUCCUUGGCCUCUUGCAGCUUCCAGUGGUCCCUGGAGGUCACGGUCUUGCUGAUGCAUCCAGUCUCUGCCACUAUUGGCACAGGCCACGGUCCCCUAGUGUCUGUGUCCCUGUAUUCAGAUCUCCUCUCCUUUCUUCUAAAAGACAUCAGUCCCCAGGUAAGAGCCUACUGGAGUUAGUCUGAUCUCAUCCUACCUUGUUCCUUGUUCCUGUCUCCAAAUAGUCAUUGAGGACCAAGAUAGACACAUUAGCGUUGACGGGGACACCAUUCAGCCCAGCAGGGAGAUGGCAGGGCAGCUUCUGCUGAAGGAGGGGCUUGCUCCGGGACAGGAGGGCCUGCAGAAUGCAUACAUGUGUUUGUGGGACACCAUUAAGAGAAUCCACCCCACAGGUGUUUGUCCCAACACUCAGGCCUCUAGGAACAUGUGUGAGCGGAAUGAUACCUGUGGUAGCUUAACUGUGGUCUGUCCCCAGGGAGUCACGAGGCAGAGAUUUGUCCUCAAUGUGACAGUGCAGAGGUGGUGAGGCCUUUAAGGGAUAGGGCCUAGUGUGAGGCCCCAAGACUGGCUCCUUUCUGCCCUCUGGCUUCUGGUCCCACUAGAUCCCUCAGUCUUGAGUGUAUUCUGCCAUGAUGCCAGUGCCCUGCCCUUGAACCUGACAGAACUGUGAGUUAAAUAAACCUCUGUUCUUUAAAGUUA